CGCGCCAUGUGACGUUCGAUUGUUACUCGCUGCUUAUGAUCCCGGGACUUAACCACCGUCGGAUCGCUUACCGCCGCUUAAGUGAACCCGGGACGCUACCCAGACGGAACACAUCAUCAUCUGUGCUUGGAACGUGUCCAGGAGCACCCUUAUAACGCCUGCUUAGCUUCGUUAGUGCCCAAAUGGCGAUCAACCCAUUGAGCAACUAACCUUGUGUACACAAUCCUCAUCUAACGUGUUAGGUCAAAUGAGAAUCUCGAUCGAUGCUUAUGCGAGCAUUAAACAAUACAGAACGCACAUAAAAACAUUUAUAUUGGAUAAACAAUUAACUUUCAUGAAAUAUCAGAGCUUAUAUAACUCAAGAUACAUUUGUAAAAUAAAGCCCACCUGGAUAGGCAAAGCCUGAAGAUCAUACACAUAUAAACUUGUCUUGGGAAAGCAGCGCUAACCCACUUGGUCAUAAAGCCUACAAGAAAUUAUAUUCUUAAUAGGUAUCGAGGUAUCAUUCUAAUUUCUAAGUAAAUGGAACCGCUAACUAUUGAUACACUUUGCCCGAUUUAAUAAUCUCUUUGAAUGAAUCCAUAAUCUUUUAAUAUAUAAAAUAAGUUUAAAACUUAUAAAAUAAUUAAUAAUUUAAAAUAAAUUAUAAAACAUUAAUCUUGGGAGAAAAAUUAAUAAUUCUUAUUAAAACAUUUUCAGCAAAAUAAUAGUUCAAGCCCAAGAAGAUAAUUUAAAAACUUGUUAUAAAAUAAAGCAGCCCAAAGUAAUUAAAGUGAAGCCUAAAUGCUUAAAUGUACCUGAGUCCAUUGACAAUUUAAAUCAAACUAGGCUCAAUCCAUUCUUUCAAAUUCCCUUAAUGAAAACCUACACCUACACACAUCACACACACAUACAACCCACGCACACCAGCUCACUCCCUCUCUCUCAGCCGCUCACCCCACCCUUUCUGCGCCCUCCUGCCGCCGCCACCGGACGGCAGCGCCGUCCCCGGAGGCCGGCGGCUCCGCCUCCUUCCUCUAUCCUGUCCGACCGCAACGCACCCCGCCGUCCCUGUAUCGACAGAGGCGCGCCGAGCCGCCUCCCCUUCCAGUACUGCCGCCGCUGCCCUCUUUCCCUUUCCUCACCUCUAGUCUCCCUCUCUCUCUGCUUCCCCUCAGCCGAACAGCGGCGUCCACCCUUCUCCGGCGACCCUCGCCGCCAGCCACCACCCGCUCCUACCCGGCGUCAC
rnacentral:lncRNA from 1 species